UACGAAGGGGGCUAGCGUUGCUCGGAAUCACUGGGCGUAAAGGGUGCGUAGGCGGCGUGGUAAGUCGGGUGUGAAAUCUCGGAGCUUAACUCCGAAACUGCAUUCGAUACUGCCGUGCUUGAGGACUGGAGAGGAGACUGGAAUUUACGGUGUAGCGGUGAAAUGCGUAGAUAUCGUAAGGAAGACCAGUGGCGAAGGCGGGUCUCUGGACAGUUCCUGACGCUGAGGCACGAAGGCCAGGGGAGCAAACGGG
rnacentral:rRNA from 1 species